rnacentral:rRNA from 1 species
ACGAACGCUGGCGGCGUGCUUAACACAUGCAAGUCGAACGGAAAGGCCUGCUUUCCCUUGUGGAUUGCGGGUACUCGAGUGGCGAACGGGUGAGUAACACGUGAGUGAUCUGCCCCCAACUUGGGUAUAAGCCUGGGAAACUGGGUCUAAUUCCCGAUAGGACUGCAGGGUGGUGCCUGUGGUGGAAAACGAUUUUCUAGUGGUUGGGGAUGAGCUCGCGGCCUAUCAGCUUGUUGGUGGGGUAAUGGCCCACCAAGGCGGCGACGGGUAGCCGGCCUGAGAGGGUGGACGGCCACAUUGGGACUGAGAUACGGCCCAGACUCCUACGGGAGGCAGCAGUGGGGAAUAUUGCACAAUGGGCGGAAGCCUGAUGCAGCGACGCCGCGUGGGGGAUGACGGCCUUCGGGUUGUAAACUCCUUUCGACCGCGAGGAAGCCACCUGGUUGGAAGGGUGGUGACGGUAGUGGUAGAAGAAGCACCGGCUAACUACGUG